AGAGUUUGAUCCUGGCUCAGAUUGAACGCUGGCGGCAUGCUUUACACAUGCAAGUCGAACGGCAGCGCGGGGGCAACCCUGGCGGCGAGUGGCGAACGGGUGAGUAAUAUAUCGGAACGUACCCAAGAGUGGGGGAUAACGUAGCGAAAGUUACGCUAAUACCGCAUACGAUCUAAGGAUGAAAGCAGGGGAUCGCAAGACCUUGUGCUCCUGGAGCGGCCGAUAUCUGAUUAGCUAGUUGGUGGGGUAAAGGCCCACCAAGGCAACGAUCAGUAGCUGGUCUGAGAGGACGACCAGCCACACUGGAACUGAGACACGGUCCAGACUCCUACGGGAGGCAGCAGUGGGGAAUUUUGGACAAUGGGGGCAACCCUGAUCCAGCAAUGCCGCGUGAGUGAAGAAGGCCUUCGGGUUGUAAAGCUCUUUUGUCAGGGAAGAAAAGGCUGCGGCUAAUAUCCGCAGCUGCUGACGGUACCUGAAGAAUAAGCACCGGCUAACUACGUGCCAGCAGCCGCGGUAAUACGUAGGGUGCAAGCGUUAAUCGGAAUUACUGGGCGUAAAGCGUGCGCAGGCGGUUUUCGUAAGUCUGUCGUGAAAUCCCC
rnacentral:rRNA from 1 species